AUGGAGGAGGCGGAUAAAGGGGAGGUCUUCGAGAGGAACAACAAGUCGAGGCUGGACAGCCAUCCGGGGGCGACGGCGGGGACGGCCUGCCGGUUCACCGACGACCUCAUCCUGGAGAUCCUCUCCCGCAUCCCCGCCAGAUCCCUCCACCGCUUCAAGUGCGUCUCCGUGCGCUGGCGCGACCUCAUCGCCGACCCCGCCAACCGCAAGAAGCUGCCCCAGACCCUCGCCGGCUUCCUCUACACGACCACUGUCGGCUGUAAUCGCCACCACUUCGCCAGCGUCUCCUGCGGCGCAGCCCCGUUCGACCCUUCCCUCCCUUACCUGCAGCCUGGCAAGUACAAGGACAUGGCUCAGGUGGACGCCUGCAAUGGCCUCCUUCUCUACCUAAGCUCCAGCAAGAACAUGGUGAACCCUUGGGCUUGGGCAGAGGAUGAUUUCCGUUUUGUUGUGUGCAAUCCGGCCACUGGGAGGUGGGUGGAGCUGCCCCCUCAACCGCAGGCGCCGGCAGACAGAUUUAGGUAUAACUGUAUGGCAGGCCUGGCUUUUGAUCCGGCAGUCUCAUCCCAUUUCCACGUUUUUUGUUUCGAGGAGACCACUGUGGAAACGUACAUGACAGGAGUGAACAUCUACUCGUCAUGA
rnacentral:rRNA from 1 species